rnacentral:rRNA from 1 species
AGUGAACGCUGGCGGUAGGCCUAACACAUGCAAGUCGAACGGCAGCACAGUAAGAGCUUGCUCUUACGGGUGGCGAGUGGCGGACGGGUGAGGAAUACAUCGGAAUCUACUUUUUUGUGGGGGAUAACGUAGGGAAACUUACGCUAAUACCGCAUGCGACCUACGGGUGAAAGCAGGGGAUCUUCGGACCUUGCGCGAUUGAAUGAGCCGAUGUCGGAUUAGCUAGUUGGCGGGGUAAAGGCCCACCAAGGCGACGAUCCGUAGCUGGUCUGAGAGGAUGAUCAGCCACACUGGAACUGAGACACGGUCCAGACUCCUACGGGAGGCAGCAGUGGGGAAUAUUGGACAAUGGGCGCAAGCCUGAUCCAGCCAUACCGCGUGGGUGAAGAAGGCCUUCGGGUUGUAAAGCCCUUUUGUUGGGAAAGAAAAGCAGCAGGUUAAUACCCCGCUGUUCUGACGGUACCCAAAGAAUAAGCACCGGCUAACUUCGUG